rnacentral:sRNA from 1 species
AGCCUAAACUUGGUUCUUUAAGCUUGAGAACUAGGCAUGGUGAAAACCGAUGAAGGAUGGAAAACCCAUCAUGGGAAUACCUUCAUCGGUCCUGUCGGGAAACUGGCAGCGGGUAGCCUAGCUACC